UACGAAGGGGGCUAGCGUUGCUCGGAAUCACUGGGCGUAAAGGGUGCGUAGGCGGGUCUUUAAGUCAGGGGUGAAAUCCCGGAGCUCAACUUCGGAACUGCCUUUGAUACAGCACGUCUUGAGUCCGGAAGAGGUGGGUGGAAUUCCUAGUGUAGAGGUGAAAUUCGUAGAUAUUAGGAAGAACACCGGUGGCGAAGGCGGCAUCCUGGACCGGCAUUGACGCUGAGGCGCGAAAGCCAGGGGAGCAAACGGG
rnacentral:rRNA from 1 species